rnacentral:misc_RNA from 1 species
UACGUAGGGGGCGAGCGGUGUUCGGAAUUAUUGGGCGUAAAGCCCGCGCAGGCGGUUUCCUAAGUCUGAUGUGCAAGCCCACGGCUUAACCGUGGAGGGUCAUUGGAAACUGGGGAACUUGAGUACAGAAGAGGAGAGCGGAAUUCCACGUGUAGCGGUGAAAUGCGUAGCUAUGUGGAGGAACACCAGUGGCGAAGGCGGCUCUCUGGUCUGUAACUGACGCUGAGGCGCGAAAGCGUGGGGAGCGAACAGG